GAUGAACGCUGGCGGCGUGCCUAAUACAUGCAAGUCGAGCGAACGGACGAGAAGCUUGCUUCUCUGAUGUUAGCGGCGGACGGGUGAGUAACACGUGGAUAACCUACCUAUAAGACUGGGAUAACUUCGGGAAAUCGGAGCUAAUACCGGAUAAUAUUUUGAACCGCAUGGUUCAAAAGUGAAAGACGGUCUUGCUGUCACUUAUAGAUGGAUCCGCGCUGCAUUAGCUAGUUGGUAAGGUAACGGCUUACCAAGGCAACGAUGCAUAGCCGACCUGAGAGGGUGAGCGGCAACACGGGAACGGAGACCCGACCGAGCCUCCUACGGGAGGCAGCAGUAGGGAAUCUUCCGCAAGGGGCGAAAGCCUGACGGAGCAACGCCGCGUGAGGGAUGAAGUUCUUCGGAUCUUAAAACUUUGUUAUGAGGGAAGAACAUUUGUGUAAGUAACUGUGCACAUCUUGACGGUACCUAAUAAAAAAGCCCCGGCUAACUACGUG
rnacentral:rRNA from 1 species